rnacentral:piRNA from 1 species
UAUUCAUGUUUAUGGUUCCCUUGCUUCAGUA